AGACCCGAAACCCGGUGAUCUAGCCAUGGGCAGGUUGAAGGUUGGGUAACACUAACUGGAGGACCGAACCGACUAAUGUUGAAAAAUUAGCGGAUGACCUGUGGCUGGGGGUGAAAGGCCAAUCAAACCGGGAGAUAGCUGGUUCUCCCCGAAAGCUAUUUAGGUAGCGCCUCGUGAAUUCAUCUCCGGGGGUAGAGCACUGUUUCGGCUAGGGGGCCAUCCCGGCUUACCAACCCGAUGCAAACUGCGAAUACCGGAGAAUGUUAUCACGGGAGACACACGGCGGGUGCUAACGUCCGUCGUGAAGAGGGAAACAACCCAGACCGCCAGCUAAGGUCCCAAAGUCAUGGUUAAGUGGGAAACGAUGUGGGAAGGCCCAGACAGCCAGGAUGUUGGCUUAGAAGCAGCCAUCAUUUAAAGAAAGCGUAAUAGCUCACUGGUCGAGUCGGCCUGCGCGGAAGAUGUAACGGGGCUAAACCAUGCACCGAAGCUGCGGCAGCGAACGUAUCACCCAAGACAACUUUACGGAGUUGACGAUUGACGGAGCGAAGCGACGUCAAAGCGUUCAUUAAAGUCGAGUUGGCUUAGGGAUACGUUCGUUGGGUAGGGGAGCGUUCUGUAAGCCUGUGAAGGUGUGUCGUGA
rnacentral:rRNA from 4 species